AGUAACUUCAAAUUUGGCAAGCGGAGAGAGAAUCCGGUUGUUCCAAGUAUCGGCGCCUACAGUUUUGUCUGUCUUUUUAUUUUUAUUUUUUCCUAGUUCUCCCCAUUUUGCUUUUCCUUGCUGCGUUUCACUUUGUUCUUUUAAUAUCUACAUUUGAUCUGGAAUAUUAAUUUUGGCUCAGAAUUCGAUUUCCAUGUUCAAUUGGUAGUAUUCGACCUUAUAUGAUUGGAUUAAAAAUCAAGCAAACUCCGCUUGUGAAGGAAUUGACUUUUGUUUUGGGCUUUGGUUUAUAAGGAGCUUCAAAUUGAAUUUUCCCAGUAUGAACUUCCUAUUUUUAUGACGGUUGAAGCUCAGGUAAAAGAAUACAGGCAAAAAAACUGGGCUUUCUUCCUUCUUUCCUCCCUCUGUCUACAUAUGUACUAAAGUUUUCUGAAGAAAGAAUAUGACUUUUCCGGCUGGCAAAAUAUGUAGGAAAUACGGAGGGUGCACUGAGUAAAAAUCUAUUCUUCAAGGACAAGAAAAAUGAAAAAUAGAUUCUGUCAUUUCCGCACUGGCAGAUACCAAUGUAAAUCUGAAAGUUCCAUCCCAAGGGCUUGGCUUGGGGAGAGGAGGUUUGAGAAUGGCUAUUGAUGAAGCAUUGGGCGAAAUACUUCAGGCAACUUUGGGUUGUAGCACUCCAUUUGCACUAGUAAAUGAUUCAACAAGGUAUGCAGUAACUUUGUUUGCACUAGAAAUUGAACUUUUUCUUUGUUUCUGUUUCAACUUUUCAGUUUAUACAUUUUUGAUGAAUACUUUUCAGUUUAUACAUGUUAUGGCAUUGUGACUCUAGGCCCUGAUUUUAUUUUUUUUGUGAAAGGUUUCAAUUCUGUCAGUUACAUUUUUGGUGUUUUUAUUGGUCUUGCAUUAUAGCUGUAUCGAUGUUAUUAGAAAAACUUAAUUUCCUCAAUGAAGAAGAAAUCCUAAAGUAUUGAAGACUAAUACAUCUUUAAUGAAAUCAUUUAGGUUCGGUUUGGCUACUUGAAAAUUUUGAGUUUUAAGAUGAAAUAUUAAAAUAUUAUAUUUUAAUAUUAUUAUUGCUUCUUUCCUAAAGAAGCAAACCAUCCAAAUAACGCAACCUUUGAAGGUACCUUACUCUUCCAAAUACUCUUCCAAGGAAAAGAGUGAAUCCCAUUUGUUUGAGACAACGUCUUAUACCAAGAACGAGCUAAAAACUUCUUGUUACUAAUGGCCCUUUGCAACCUAAUGUUUUAGCCUCUCAUUGCAGUAUAUCACUCUUAUAAAACUCCCAACUCGUUAAUCAUUACAAGUUAGUCGCAUAUUUCUUAAGAAUAUAAGCCAUAUACGAAAAUAGUAGAAAGCUAGAAAUAGUGAUGAUGCCCAUAAACACAAGAAUAAAGACCAGUGAUGCUAGCUUGUGGCAAUCCAAGCAGAUUGCUAGGCUUGUUUGUUUUGGAUGGCUUCUUAGGUGCUCUAGCAUCAUGUGGGAAGGCACACUACAUGCCCAAUAUUUUAAAAACUGUACCAGAUGAAUGAACUAGAAAGGCGGCUAGUUCAACAUCAGUUUAACAAGCUUAAUCUUACGUGAACUUACUUUUACACUAGUCAAAUGCAAGACUCGUUAGGUAUUUUGAGGGAAAAAAAUUAACAAAAAAAAAAAAAGAAAAGGUUUUUGUAUUCUGGAAAGAUUAUUUGGUGUGAUUGAUAACUUUUAUCAAUUUAGUGGUUUACAACCUAUUCAAUUUGAUUCAACUUAUAAAAAAGCAUCCAUCUGGUUAACUAAAAUUAAAAGUGGUUUGAGGGGUGAACCAGAUAAAAAAUUAGACCAAUUCAUGGUUGUACAAGUUUAACUGGUUGGUCAAGUUUGGUUUGUAACACUUGGCGGACUUCAUGCAUCACACCUUUUUAACAUUUGCGUCUCACAUAUUGCAUGACAUGUUUGGUAGUUUCGGGUUUUUUUUUCUUGGUUUUAUUGAUUUUCAUUUUAUAAUUGGUUUGGUACUGUGGAUUUACACUGUUAGUAAGUUUUUGUUAACUAUUUAGGUUUAUGUACGAUUUGUUUGUUUGAUUUUUAACAAGGCACUCCUUGUGAAAUGUUUAUGGAGGUACCAUCAGGUAGGGGAGUCCUUAUGAAAGAUUAUUAUUGAGAUCAUAAAGUAUGGGAUUUUGCAAGGGAGUUGGUGUUCUGAUGAAGUGAGAAGUGUGCAUGGUGUUAGUUUGUGGAAGCAUAUUAGAAAUGGAUGGGAGGCUUUUGCUUGUUUUAUUAGUUUCACGGUUGGCGAUGGAUCUAGAGUAAGUUUUUGGCAUGAAUUUUCAUGUGGUGAUUUAGUCCUUACCAUGUUUCCCUCUCUCUUUCGGUUGGCUCUUAAUCAGGAGGCUUUGGUAUUUGAGUUGUUGGAUUGUUCUAGUAGUUCCCCACAUUGGAAUGUUUAUUUCAAUAGAGCUACUCAAGAUUGGGAAAUUGGAGUUAUUUAUGCUUUUUAUAGUUUAUUGUAUUCCUUGAAUUUUGGUUAUAAUUUGGUGGAUAUGAUGCUUUGGACAAAGACAAAGUAGGAAGUUUAGUGUAUGAUCAUUAUACAAGGGUGUCAAGUCAAAAGCAUACUUUAUUCCCUUGGAAGUAUAUCUAGAAGGGAGUAAGGUGCCACCUAAGAUUGGUUUCUUUGGUUGGACAACAUCUCUUGUGAAAUUCUUGACCUUGGGUAAUUUGAGAAAGGAGUUGUCUCUUCGUAACGGAUUGGUGUUAUAUGUGUAAGAAGAGUGGAGAGCUGGUGGAUCAUCUUUUACUUCAUUGUGAGGUGGCAAGGAUGUUAUGAGUGGAGAUUGUUAAUAGAAUGAGCAUUGCUUGGGUAAUGCCCAGUAGGGUGGUCAAUUUGUUUGCAUGUUGGCAAAGAUGUAAGGCCAAUUCACAUAUUGUCGAUGUAUGGUGGAUGAUUUCUUUGUGUAUCAUGUGGUGUUUGUGAAUUGAAAGGAAUGGUCGAAGCUUUGAAGAUAAGGAGCAUUCUCCUAAUAUGCUAAGAAGUUUCUUCUUCCAUUCUUUAUUUCUUUGGACCUCCUCUUGUGUACUUAAUGGACAUUGCUUUAAUGACUUUUUUCUCUCA